AGAGUUUGAUCCUGGCUCAGAUUGAACGCUGGCGGUAUGCUUAACACAUGCAAGUCGAACGGUAACAGCAGAGCUUGCUCUGGCUGACGAGUGGCGGACGGGUGAGUAACGCGUGGGAAUCUACCUAGUAGUGGGGGAUAGCCAGAAGAAAUUCUGAAUAAUACCGCAUACGCCCUACGGGGAAAGAGGCCCUCUUCUUGAAAGGUCUCACUAUUAGAUGAGCCCGCGUUAGAUUAGCUAGUUGGUGAGGUAAGAGCUCACCAAGGCAACGAUCUAUAGCUGGUCUGAGAGGAUGAUCAGCCACAUUGGGACUUAGACACGGCCCAGACUCCUACGGGAGGCAGCAGUGGGGAAUAUUGGACAAUGGGCGCAAGCCUGAUCCAGCAAUACCGCGUGUGUGAAGAAGGCCUGAGGGUUGUAAAGCAGUUUCAAUAGAGACGAAAAGCUUAGGGUUAAUAACCAUCGGUCUUGACAUUAACUUUAGAAGAAGCACCGGCUAACCCUGUGCCAGCAGCCGCGGUAAUACAGGGGGUGCGAGCGUUAAUCGGAAUUACUGGGCGUAAAGCGUACGUAGGCGGAUAUUUAAGUCAGAUGUGAAAGCCCCGGGCUCAACCUGGGAACUGCAUUUGAAACUGGGUAUCUAGAGUUUGGUAGAGGCAGGUAGAAUUCCUAGUGUAGCGGUGAAAUGCGUAGAUAUUAGGAGGAAUACCAGUGGCGAAGGCGGCUUCUUGGAUUGAUACUGACACUGAGGUACGAAAGCGUGGGGAGCAAACAGGAUUAGAUACCCUGGUAGUCCACGCCCUAAACGAUGAGAACUAGAUGUUGGAGGAAUUUAUAAUCCUUUAGUGUAGCUAACGCGAUAAGUUCUCCGCCUGGGGAGUACGGCCGCAAGGUUAAAACUCAAAUGAAUUGACGGGGGCCCGCACAAGCGGUGGAGCAUGUGGUUUAAUUCGAUGCAAUGCGAAGAAUUUUACCUGGCCUUGACAUCCUUGGAAUUUCGCAGAAACGUGAAAGUGCCGGGAGCCAAGAGACAGGUGCUGUAUGGCUGUCGUCAGCUCGUGUUGUGAGAUGUUGGGUUAAGUCCCGUUACGAGCGCAACCCUUAUCCUUAGUUGCCAGCACGUAAUGGUGGGAACUCUAGGGAGACUGCCGGUGAUAAACCGGAGGAAGGUGGGGAUGACGUCAAGUCAUCAUGGCCCUUAUGGGUAGGGCUACACACGUGCUACAAUGGUGCAUACAGAGGGCAGCGAGACCGCGAGGUGGAGCAAAUCCCAGCAAGUGCAUCGUCGUCCGGAUUGGAGUCUGCAACUCGACUCCAUGAAGUCGGAAUCGCUAGUAAUCGCGAAUCAGAAUGUCGCGGUGAAUACGUUCCCGGGCCUUGUACACACCGCCCGUCACAUCAUGGGAGUGGGCUGCAAAAGAAGUGGCUAGUCUAACCUUCGGGAGGACGGUCACCACUUUGUGGUUCAUGACUGGGAUGAAGUCGUAACAAGGUA
rnacentral:rRNA from 1 species